AUUGAACGCUGGCGGCGUGCUUAACACAUGCAAGUCGAUCGGUAACAGGUGUAGCAAUACAUGCUGACGAGAGGCGGACGGGUGAGUAAUGCUUGGGAAUCUGCCUAUUAGUGGGGGACAACCCGGGAAACGUCGGCUAAUACCGCAUACGCUCUACGGAGGAAAGCCGGGACCGCAAGGCCUGGCGCUAAUAGAUGAGCCCAAGUCGGAUUAGCUAGUUGGUAGGGAACGGCCUACCAAGGCGACAAUCCGUAGCUGGUCUGAGAGGACGACCAGCCACACCGGAACUGAGACACGGUCCGGACUCCUACGGGAGGGCAGCAGUGGGGAAGUAUUGGACAAUGGGGCGAACCCUCGAUCCAGCGACGCCGCGUGGGUGAAGAAGGCCUGCGGGUUGUAAAG
rnacentral:rRNA from 1 species